CUUCUAGAGGGGAAUCGAAAAAUUCGGUGGCUGGACAGAGGGAGCCCGCGCACGCAAGGAGAAGUUUAGCUUCGGCAUGUAGCUCUCGUGUUUCUUCCUCGCCUGUUCCCUAUAAGAUAAUUAAUAACUCCUUCAAAGGAUUAUAGGAAUUAAGUACCCUCAACAUCAGUAUGAGGGACACAUGAGAAAUAGGGCUUUUAAGGAAAAUCUUGUUAUUACUGACUGUUUUGAUUGAAGACCGAUAAUUAAUGGGUGAUAUUGAGACAUUGAGUGUUAUUUAAUCUCUGUAUUGGUAUAUAAGUGUUGAAUAUUGAGUAUUAUUUAAUCUCUGUAUUGCUAUAUAAGCGUUGAAUAUGUUCCUAAAGUUUCAUUAAACUCUCGGUAAAAGGUUAUGUUAUUUAGAUAUGGUCAGCUAUUCAUUCUCUUCAAUUUCUUUGGUUCAAUUAUGUACUGAAAAGACAUUGGGAAUAUCGAAUGAUGUUGUAAUAUGAUUGUGUUGUUUCCUAGUUAUUCUCUUAGCUCCUAGCAUGUCUGAAUGUCAAUUCAUAUUGUGGUACUGUGUGAAAUUCCAGUCUAUUAGGAAGCAUACUGUACAAUUAUUUUUGAAUUGAAGUACUUGCUGUCAUGAAAAUUUGUAAUUGUAAUAAUUAUGUUUUUGUUGGUCUUCCUACUUGCUUUUCCUUGCUGGAUAGACUAUAUUUCUAGGGGUGAUAGUGGUUAUUUUGCCACUGGUCUUUAUAGUGAUGAUUAUAAUUGGAAUAAAUUCAAAGGCAUGACUAUUUAGCAUUGUUUUUCCAUGAGAAAUUUGUCCCGGUUGUCUUAAAAUACUGGUGUUGAUUUAUGCCUCUAAAAUUAAUAACAUUUUCAAGUUUCAUAAAAAUGUGUAAGAUUUGUUGUGGCACACCUCUCUUUGGUUAAAGCAUCUUAAGUAGUCAUAUAUCAUGGAUUUCCAUGCUAAAAACCUUGGUUUAUCUUGCUGCAUACAUUUGUCUUGGGUUGAGCUUGACAAAUUGAAUGUUAAAAUGAGAUGUUAAAAUGAGUUAGUGGAAUAUUUAUACAUAAAGGAGGAUUUGCUUUGAUUGAUAUAUAAUUAUAAGUGCUGUUUAGUUAUAUCAUCAUGGUAUGACUUAUAUUCACCAUUGCUUAAAGGGCUUUGUUGUUCUAAAAGAGCCUUUAGCAAGUAUUUGGAUACAGAUUUGAAAGUGAGAUUUAGCAAGUAUUUGGUGAAUAUUUGAAAUUGAGAUGUUUGCAACUAUUUUUAUAAUAAUUAGAAUGUUUUUAUUACUGAAAGAAAUUUUUACUAGCAAAUAUGAGUCCACGAGAAAGUUUGAAAAUUGGCUUAUGAAUGUUGUUUAGAUUCUUUUGUAAUAAAAAUUUUCAUAUAUUGAAGGGUUGAUCUCUAAUAUACCUAUGAACACUUAUGGAUGAACCAAGCACAACGCGCAUGUUUUUCAUGAACCUAAUGCCCAUGCCUGUUUUUGUAGCUUCAGGCUAUUUCAGAUUUGUUACUUAUCCUUGUUGAUUGUGUGUCACCAUCUAUUUUUUUGCGGCCUAUGUGUCACAUCUAUCAUUUGUGGCCUAUGACCCAAGCCUGUUACUUGUGGCGUACAAAUCACACUUGUUGCUCGUGGUCUAAGAUCACAUUUAAUUGGUGACUUACCCACAUGGAUUGUGUACCUAUAAUUAAUAUCUUGUGCUUUGUGGGUUCCUUUAAAAGAACUUGUUUUCAAGAAAGAGUGUGUUUUCUUCUUACUUUUAAUUUUUCAAAAGAAAUUAUUAUUCUAAAUUUUUAGAUAAGUUGAUCCUAGGAUUUCUAUUUCAAAGUAUAAUGAGUUCGAAAAUAUGUUUCCCACACUUGUUGAUAAUAUUAUUUCUGCAUUUUAUAUAUUGCGAGUAUUGUAUCAGCAAACAUUUAUCCAUGUUCAUGUCUGUGUAUUUGGAGUGCUUUAGAUAAUUUAAAUUAUUGAGGUAUUAUCCUAUCAUCUUGACAAAGUAAACGUGAUUUGGGAUAUAUAUGUUUAUGCAUAUUGUAAUCAUUUUAAUGCUGAGCCUUAUUAUGAAACAUCAUUUAAUUAUUUUUAUACCAAUUAUUAGGAAUGUUCAACCCCUUUGUUUGAAUAAUGGUUUUGUUGUUUUCAACAAUUGCUCCAAACAACAAGCAAGAUAUCGACUUGUUUAUUUUUAUUAUUUAUCGAUUGAGGAGGUAACUCUUAUAUUCUUUUUGAAUUUUUAAAGAAAUUUUUUACAAAAAUUCAUGAGUAUUAUAAUGUCAUUUGAUGUUAUACCACAGUCCAGAGGUGUAAUAUUUUUUCCCCCCAAUUGUAAUCACACACACACACACACACACAUAUAUCUUGAUUAGUUUUGCGAAGCAAGUCCAACCUUGUAUUUCGUGCUGGGCGUGAGCCCCAUGUAGGUGAUCAGGUUUGUUUUAAUUUAAUUUAUGAUUAUAUUUGGGUUGUAUACUCUUUUGCUAUUAUCAUUAUACCUUGCAUCACAAGUCUUUAUUUCUAAAAACAUUUAUUUGAAAUAAAUUGUUGUGCUACUAUAUUUU